GCUUCCGUAGUGUAGUUGGUUAUCACGUCUGCUUUACACGCAGAAGGUCCUCAGUUCAAACCUGAGCGGAAGCA
rnacentral:tRNA from 1 species